rnacentral:rRNA from 1 species
UACGUAGGGGGCAAGCGUUGUCCGGAAUUAUUGGGCGUAAAGAGCUCGUAGGCGGUCUGUCACGUCGGAUGUGAAAACUCGGGGCUCAACCCCGAGCCUGCAUACGAUACGGGCAGACUUGAGUUCGGCAGGGGAGACUGGAAUUCCUGGUGUAGCGGUGAAAUGCGCAGAUAUCAGGAGGAACACCGGUGGCGAAGGCGGGUCUCUGGGCCGAUACUGACGCUGAGGAGCGAAAGCGUGGGGAGCGAACAGG